UACGUAGGCAGCAAGCGUUGUUCGGAGUUACUGGGCGUAAAGGGUGUGUAGGCGGUUCUUUUAAGUUUGGUGUGAAAUCUCCCGGCUCAACCGGGAGGGUGCGCCGAAUACUGAGGAGCUAGAGUGCGGGAGAGGAAAGUGGAAUUCCUGGUGUAGCGGUGAAAUGCGUAGAUAUCAGGAGGAACACCGGUGGUGUAGACGGCUUUCUGGACCGUAACUGACGCUGAGACACGAAAGCGUGGGUAGCAAACAGG
rnacentral:rRNA from 1 species